CACCCCCUAAUCCUCGGGUCGAGGGUGAACCAUCAGCACAGAAUAUUCGAGAGAUCCAAGCCGGUAUAUCACUCGUCACAGACCCCCUCCUGACGAGAUAUCACCCCGAUCAGUCAAGCUAUCAAGGUGACCAACACUGCUGCUACUGCCAUCUUUAUGGACACACCUACUGAGGGUCUCAUGUAAAUUGAUGCCGAUGUAACCGACCGGUAUGUUUCUUCAGCUGUGACAAAUGUAUUUCUGAUUUUUGUUUCAUAAACGGUCAAACAUG